rnacentral:lncRNA from 1 species
AUUGUGAUCCCGGAAAAACAAUCGGAGUGGUUCUAGUCGGUGAGCCUGGGAAAACCGACUGAGUUCGUUGUGCGCUCGUAAAACAACAAGUUGGGUUGUGAGCUUGUAAAACAACCGGCUGUAAUCUGUAGGAUUAUAGUGAAAUUCCCAAGAGGUCUUGGGGAGUGGAUGUAGGUGCUAGGAUGCACCGAACCACUAUAUUUUUGUUGUGUUUGUGAUGCUCUUUGUUGACUGACCUUCUCACUCACUUACUUAGAUAUUAGGCUUGCUUAGCUCUUCUUCGUGCAUCCUUUAGUUGCAAGCAUAAUCAAUUUACUCAAUCAUUAAAUUGAAUAGCAUACUAGGGCAAAAUUAGACUAAUCUUUUAUUGAACCCGCUGCUUAAUAGUUGAUUAGAUUAGAAUCAUACUCUUGCUAAGGUUAAGCUUCACUAAGCAUCCAUACAACUUAGCAUAAUUAAUCUAAAAGAUUAGAAGUAGUUUAAAAGUUUUUAAAAGACCCAAUUCACCCCCCCC